rnacentral:rRNA from 1 species
GGUGAACGCUGGCGGCGUGCCUAAUACAUGCAAGUCGAGCGAACAGACGAGGAGCUUGCUCCUCUGACGUUAGCGGCGGACGGGUGAGUAACACGUGGAUAACCUACCUAUAAGACUGGGAUAACUUCGGGAAACCGGAGCUAAUACCGGAUAAUAUAUUGAACCGCAUGGUUCAAUAGUGAAAGACGGUUUUGCUGUCACUUAUAGAUGGAUCCGCGCCGCAUUAGCUAGUUGGUAAGGUAACGGCUUACCAAGGCAACGAUGCGUAGCCGACCUGAGAGGGUGCUCGGCCACACUGGAACUGAGACACGGUCCAGACUCCUACGGGAGGCAGCAGUAGGGAAUCUUCCGCAAUGGGCGAAAGCCUGACGGAGCAACGCCGCGUGAGUGAUGAAGGUCUUCGGAUCGUAAAACUCUGUUAUUAGGGAAGAACAAAUGUGUAAGUAACUAUGCACGUCUUGACGGUACCUAAUCAGAAAGCCACGGCUAACUACGUG